rnacentral:rRNA from 1 species
UACGUAGGGUGCGAGCGUUAAUCGGAAUUACUGGGCGUAAAGCGUGCGCAGGCGGUUUUGUAAGCCAGAUGUGAAAUCCCCGGGCCUUAACCUGGGAAUGGCAUGGGACUGCAGGGCUCGAGUGCAGCAGAGGAGACUGGAAUUCCUGGUGUAGCAGUGAAAUGCGUAGAUAUCAGGAGGAACACCGAAUGGCGAAGGCAGGUCUCUGGGCUGACAACUGACGCUCU